GUGUGCUGCGUGCUGUCUUUAAGAGGAGGAUGUGCGGCCUUCAGUCCUGAGAGUUCUGCCCGGAUGGCAGCGGCAGCCGCCUUGUGACCGUAAAGGGAAAGAAAGCCAGGUGGAUUGUAGAGCCCUUGAGCUGAUCAGAGACGGGAUGGGACUCAGCAAAGUCCUAGAGCCAGAAAACAAAGGUAGAGAAGCAGGUGAACACCAGGUGAGAUGCACUCACGUCCGUUGUCUGCGUUUGAUUGCGUGACGUCGUGGAGAGAGAAGUUGGCCUGCAUGGAGAGCAUACACAUGAAUCUCGGAGCCACCUGCAGUCACUGUGGCAAGGCCGUCCCUCAGCCAGCUGUCUUCAUUGCCUGAGAGAGCUUCUGACCUCCAGAUGCAGCGUGAUCUAGUGAUUUGGUUUGUGGGUGAGCACAGACACCUUUUAAAGAAGUGCCUAUGGUUGUGUAUCAGGGAGGAAAUAAAGUCCUUUCUACCAUAGAAGGCUGGCAUGUUACAGAGCAAAAGUGUUUGUCACUCUGCUUAUGGAAACGCAGAGUAAUCGUU